rnacentral:rRNA from 1 species
GACGAACGCUGGCGGCGUGCCUAAUACAUGCAAGUAGAACGCACAGUUUAUACCGUAGCUUGCUACACCAUAAACUGUGAGUUGCGAACGGGUGAGUAACGCGUAGGUAACCUGCCUGGUAGCGGGGGAUAACUAUUGGAAACGAUAGCUAAUACCGCAUAAUAUUGAUUAUUGCAUGAUAAUUGAUUGAAAGAUGCUAUUGCAUCACUACCAGAUGGACCUGCGUUGUAUUAGCUAGUAGGUGAGGUAACGGCUCACCUAGGCGACGAUACAUAGCCGACCUGAGAGGGUGAUCGGCCACACUGGAACUGAGACACGGCCCAGACUCCUACGGGAGGCAGCAGUAGGGAAUCUUCGGCAAUGGACGAAAGUCUGACCGAGCAACGCCGCGUGAGUGAAGAAGGUUUUCGGAUCGUAAAGCUCUGUUGUAAGAGAAGAACGGGUGUGAGAGUGGAAAGUUCACACUGUGACGGUAUCUUACCAGAAAGGGACGGCUAACUACGU